rnacentral:rRNA from 1 species
CAUGCAAGUCGAACGAGAAUCUACUGAAAGAGUUUUCGGACGAUGGAAGUAGAGGAAAGUGGCGGACGGGUGAGUAACGCGUGAGGAACCUGCCUUGAAGAGGGGGACAACAGUUGGAAACGACUGCUAAUACCGCAUGAAGCAUAGGGGUCGCAUGAUUCUUAUGCCAAAGAUUUAUCGCUUCAAGAUGGCCUCGCGUCUGAUUAGCUAGUUGGCGGGGUAACGGCCCACCAAGGCGACGAUCAGUAGCCGGACUGAGAGGUUGAACGGCCACAUUGGGACUGAGAUACGGCCCAGACUCCUACGGGAGGCAGCAGUGGGGAAUAUUGGGCAAUGGGCGCAAGCCUGACCCAGCAACGCCGCGUGAAGGAAGAAGGCUUUCGGGUUGUAAACUUCUUUUAAGAGGGAAGAGCAGAAGACGGUACCUCUAGAAUAAGCCACGGCUAACUACGUGCCAGCAGCCGCGGUAAUACGUAGGUGGCAAGCGUUGUCCGGAUUUACUGGGUGUAAAGGGCGUGCAGCCGGGUCUGCAAGUCAGAUGUGAAAUCCAUGGGCUCAACCCAUGAACUGCAUUUGAAACUGUAGAUCUUGAGUGUCGGAGGGGCAAUCGGAAUUCCUAGUGUAGCGGUGAAAUGCGUAGAUAUUAGGAGGAACACCAGUGGCGAAGGCGGAUUGCUGGACGAUAACUGACGGUGAGGCGCGAA